UAUAUCAAUGUCAUUAUUAACCCAAAUGAUUAUGAAAUAAUAUAGGGAUGGGUAGAGAGAGAGAGAGAGAGAGCGUGCGCAUGUGCAAACAUGAGUGUUCAAUUCUGGGCUUCAUAUAAGAAUAAUUUUACUUAAAGGUACCUAGUUUCUGCUAUACAUAGGUAAUUUUUCUUUGUGAAUCUCACUUUGGUUUUUUUUUUAUUGAAGUAUUGUUGAUAUACAAUCUUACAUUGGUUUCAAAUGUACAACACAGUGGUUCAAUAGUUACCCAUAUUACUAAAUCCUUACCUACUCUAGUAGUACUCAUCUAUCAAUGUAGAAAGAUUUUAAAGAAUCAUUAACUAUAUUCUCCUUACUGUACAACUGUCCCCAUGAACCUCACUUUGGUUUUAUUAACUAUUAAGUAUUAAGAACAUUUCAUUGAACCUCCUAAAUCUUUUAUUUACAAGAAUGAGAUGAAUUAGUAGUUCAUUGAAAAAGUUUAGUUUCAUGGGUAAUGGAAAUCCUGAGUUCUUUUGUUUUAAUGUCUUUUCAGAUACUGUUGCUAAUAUAUUUCUUUUGUCACAAUGGAGGAUAUUUGAAAAUACGUCUAAUUUUAAAGCUUUACUCAUUCAUCCUAAGUUUAAGUGGAUUCUUGACAGUAACGACUCACUUUUUUUUUCUCAUUUUUAAUGGAAGUUCUUAUCUUUGCUGAGUGGAUCUUGGGGCUGACUGUAUAUGCAAACCAUGUAUUAUAUAAAAUUUGAGAUUGUAUCUGAAGAAGAUAGAAUAUUAUUACAUUAUGAUUUUUAUGGGUUCCUAACGAUUAGUGUGCCUUAGAAGACUUGAAUAAUUUUCUCACAUUCUAUCAGUGUGAUUUGCAACUCCAGGGAUAUGAUUAAUACUAUUCAACAUUUUUGUUUAUUUAUAAAAUUGAUAGUCCAACAAGCAGAGAAGCUUAGAUAUUAUCAAUCACUAAUGCAGAAAAAUGAAAUUUUUCAUUUGGAAAUCCAGAUUCCCAUUGUGAUUAGUUAUCUUUUGCUUGUCAAGGAGUUAUGAGAAAACUGAUCAAUUAGUUUUCUCUCCUAAUAGCCCAUAAGAGAAGUAUUAUACUUUAGCCUAAUAGUCUAGGGCCCCCCAAAUAUAUUGUGUUUUCUAUCUGCCCAGUAUUAAAAAGAGAUAGUUUUUUAAAUAAGAAUUUUAAAUAAUCUCUAUUAAAUUCACAGUAGACAUUUUCAUUAAGAA